AUUGAACGCUGGCGGCAUGCCUUACACAUGCAAGUCGAACGGCAGCACGGGGCAACCUGGUGGCGAGUGGCGAACGGGUGAGUAAUGCAUCGGAACGUACCUUUCAGUGGGGGAUAACGUAGCGAAAGUUACGCUAAUACCGCAUAUUCUGUGAGCAGGAAAGCAGGGGAUCGCAAGACCUUGCGCUGAUUGAGCGGCCGAUGUCAGAUUAGCUAGUUGGUGAGGUAGAGGCUCACCAAGGCGACGAUCUGUAGCGGGUCUGAGAGGAUGAUCCGCCACACUGGAACUGAGACACGGUCCAGACUCCUACGGGAGGCAGCAGUGGGGAAUUUUGGACAAUGGGGGCAACCCUGAUCCAGCCAUGCCGCGUGAGUGAAGAAGGCCUUCGGGUUGUAAAGCUCUUUCGGCCGGGAAGAAAUCGCACGGGCUAAUACCCUGUGUGGAUGACGGUACCGGAAUAAGAAGCACCGGCUAACUACGUGCCAGCAGCCGCCGUAA
rnacentral:rRNA from 1 species